UCCCUGGUGUCUCAGAUGGUAAAGAAUCUGCCUAAAGUGCAGGAUACCCGGGUUCAAUCCCUGGGUCGGGAG
rnacentral:tRNA from 1 species